GGCUGCGAUCAUACCAACACUAAUGCACCGGAUCCCAUCAGAACUCCGCAGUUAAGCGUGCUUGGGCGAGAGUAGUACUAGGAUGGGUGACCCCCUGGGAAGUCCUCGUGUUGCAACCC
rnacentral:rRNA from 1 species